GAUGAACGCUGGCGGCGUGCCUAAUACAUGCAAGUCGAGCGAACGGACGAGAAGCUUGCUUCUCUGAUGUUAGCGGCGGACGGGUGAGUAACACGUGGAUAACCUACCUAUAAGACUGGGAUAACUUCGGGAAACCGGAGCUAAUACCGGAUAAUAUUUUGAACCGCAUGGUUCAAAAGUGAAAGACGGUCUUGCUGUCACUUAUAGAUGGAUCCGCGCUGCAUUAGCUAGUUGGUAAGGUAACGGCUUACCAAGGCAACGAUGCAUAGCCGACCUGAGAGGGUGAUCGGCCACACUGGAACUGAGACACGGUCCAGACUCCUACGGGAGGCAGCAGUAGGGAAUCUUCCGCAAUGGGCGAAAGCCUGACGGAGCAACGCCGCGUGAGUGAUGAAGGUCUUCGGAUCGUAAAACUCUGUUAUUAGGGAAGAACAUAUGUGUAAGUAACUGUGCACAUCUUGACGGUACCUAAUCAGAAAGCCACGGCUAACUACGUGCCAGCAGCCGCGGUAAUACGUAGGUGGCAAGCGUUAUCCGGAAUUAUUGGGCGUAAAGCGCGCGUAGGCGGUUUUUUAAGUCUGAUGUGAAAGCCCACGGCUCAACCGUGGAGGGUCAUUGGAAACUGGAAAACUUGAGUGCAGAAGAGGAAAGUGGAAUUCCAUGUGUAGCGGUGAAAUGCGCAGAGAUAUGGAGGAACACCAGUGGCGAAGGCGACUUUCUGGUCUGUAACUGACGCUGAUGUGCGAAAGCGUGGGGAUCAAACAGGAUUAGAUACCCUGGUAGUCCACGCCGUAAACGAUGAGUGCUAAGUGUUAGGGGGUUUCCGCCCCUUAGUGCUGCAGCUAACGCAUUAAGCACUCCGCCUGGGGAGUACGACCGCAAGGUUGAAACUCAAAGGAAUUGACGGGGACCCGCACAAGCGGUGGAGCAUGUGGUUUAAUUCGAAGCAACGCGAAGAACCUUACCAAAUCUUGACAUCCUUUGACAACUCUAGAGAUAGAGCCUUCCCCUUCGGGGGACAAAGUGACAGGUGGUGCAUGGUUGUCGUCAGCUCGUGUCGUGAGAUGUUGGGUUAAGUCCCGCAACGAGCGCAACCCUUAAGCUUAGUUGCCAUCAUUAAGUUGGGCACUCUAAGUUGACUGCCGGUGACAAACCGGAGGAAGGUGGGGAUGACGUCAAAUCAUCAUGCCCCUUAUGAUUUGGGCUACACACGUGCUACAAUGGACAAUACAAAGGGCAGCGAAACCGCGAGGUCAAGCAAAUCCCAUAAAGUUGUUCUCAGUUCGGAUUGUAGUCUGCAACUCGACUACAUGAAGCUGGAAUCGCUAGAAAUCGUAGAUCAGCAUGCUACGGUGAAUACGUUCCCGGGUCU
rnacentral:rRNA from 1 species